AAUAGAUACCCCGGUAGUCCGCGCCGUAAACGUUGGAUACUAGGUGUGGCGGUCUUACCAACGACUGCCGUGCCGAAGCUAACGCAUUAAGUAUCCCACCUGGGGGAGUACGGCCGCAAGGCUAAAACUCAAAGGAAUUGACGGGUCCCCGCACAAGCGGCGGAGCAUGCGGCUUAAUUCGAUGCAACCCGAAGAACCUUACCUGGGUUUUGACAUCACGGGAAAAGCUGUAGAAAUACAGUGUCCGUAAGGGCCCGUGACAGGUGGUGCAUGGCUGUCGUCAGCUCGUGUCGUGAGAUGUUGGGUUAAGUCCCGCAACGAGCGCAACCCUUGUCCUAUGUUGCCAGCGGUUCGGCCGGGGGACUCAUAGGAGACUGCCGGGGGAUAACUCGGAGGAAGGUGAGGACGACGUCAAGUCAUCAUGCCCCCUUAUAUCCAGGGCUGCACGCAUGCUACAAUGGCCGGUACAACGGGCAGCGACCCCGCGAGGGUGAGCGAAUCCUAAAAGCCGGUCCUAGUUCGGAUUGAAGUCUGCAACUCGACUUCA
rnacentral:rRNA from 1 species